rnacentral:pre_miRNA from 1 species
CGCCAUGUUUGACCAUCCGUCUUAUUCGAAAAUUUUGUGAAUAUAUUAUUUAUUUUGUUACGAUGUUUUAUCAUUAGUAUACUUCAAGUAUGACUUAUUUAUUUUUAUAUUUCUAUAAAUUUUUUAAACAAGACAGAUGGUCAAACAUGAUGUGCGGAAACUGAU